rnacentral:rRNA from 1 species
UACGUAGGAGGCGAGCGUUGUCCGGAAUUACUGGGCGUAAAGCGUGCGCAGGCGGUUCGUUGUGUCGGCGGUGAAAUCCCCGGGCUCAACCUGGGAAUGGCCGUUGAAACUGGCGAACUGGAGUGUGGCAGAGGGGGGUGGAAUUCCGCGUGUAGCAGUGAAAUGCGUAGAGAUGCGGAGGAACACCGAUGGCGAAGGCAGCCCCCCUGGGCUGACACUGACGCUCAGGCACGAAAGCGUGGGGAGCAAACAGG